UUCAGUCUGAUAAAGGUUAGGGCCAAAACUGCUCUGUGACCAAUAAGCAAUACUAGGCCUACAUCAUCAAAAUACACUGCAUUGUCACCAAUCCAAACCGUUCUCCCUCAAGAGAUAAAAAAGAUAUUAAGGGAAUGGUAAAACUGAACGCAUGUGUAGCAACAGAAGUACUAGGACGCAAGAGCAUGAUAAGGUUCACAAGUUUCCACAGCCAUGAGAGGACAGGCCAUGACUUGCUGGAGCAGCUAUUUAUUUCUUUACUGGUGUCUUCCUGAAGGACACGAGCAUCUACCAGAACCCAAAGUGUACC